rnacentral:lncRNA from 1 species
UGAUUUUGUUAUAACUAAAGCAUGUAAGAAAAUUUUGCAUUUUUAAGGGUCUUUUAAAUGUUGUCCCAAAGGGUAAUUUCCCUCCUGUUACUGCUGUUUUUUUCCACCUGUGGACAGGUUUGAACGACCACAAAUUUAUUUCUUGUAAUGCAAUGUGAAGAGCAUCAUUUCCUGAAUGUAUGACUCCAUAUGUUUAGGUGAAUAGCAGCCA